rnacentral:rRNA from 1 species
AACGAACGCUGGCGGCAGGCUUAACACAUGCAAGUCGAGCGCCUCGCAAGAGGAGCGGCAGACGGGUGAGUAACGCGUGGGAACGUACCCUUAUCUUCGGAAUAGCCCCGGGAAACUGGAAGUAAUACCGAAUGUGCCCUUAGGGGGAAAGAUUUAUCGGAUAAGGAUCGGCCCGCGUUGGAUUAGCUAGUUGGUGGGGUAAAGGCCUACCAAGGCGACGAUCCAUAGCUGGUCUGAGAGGAUGAUCAGCCACAUUGGGACUGAGACACGGCCCAAACUCCUACGGGAGGCAGCAGUGGGGAAUAUUGGACAAUGGGCGCAAGCCUGAUCCAGCCAUGCCGCGUGAGUGAUGAAGGCCUUAGGGUUGUAAAGCUCUUUCACCGGAGAAGAUAAUGACGGUAUCCGGAGAAGAAGCCCCGGCUAACUUCGUG